GCUGCAGCGCGACUGUCUGGCUGUCUGCGUGAACGUGUUGAUGACGUUCUGAGGCGAGGAGAACAUCAGAAUGGGAACCUUAAACUAUACCUCCUAACUGGAAAACUGCCAAUUUCUGUCCUGGCCGAGAUGUUUCUGUUUCAUUCACCCCUGCGGGAUAGAGUUAAUGAAGAUAUUUUCCACAGGACGUGCCAGGACUAACUACUGGUAAAACUGCAUGUCAAAGAGAGGAACACAGUUGCAUCAUUAGCUGAACGGGUUUUCUUGCUGUCCAAUCACCAUUGCAGACGAGAAUGGAGAAAACAAAUAAAUCACGUGGGGUGAAGGACCUUGACUUCUGGGUGAUCGGGGGCCACUCCGAACCUGACCAGACCGAAGGGGACAGGCAGCCGCU